AACGAACGCUGGCGGCAGGCUUAACACAUGCAAGUCGAGCGCCCCGCAAGGGGAGCGGCAGACGGGUGAGUAACACGUGGGAAUCUACCCAUCCCUACGGAACAACUCCGGGGAACUGGAGCUAAUACCGUAUACGCCCUUUGGGGGAAAGAUUUAUCGGGGAUGGAUGAGCCCGCGUUGGAUUAGCUAGUUGGUGGGGUAAAGGCCUACCAAGGCGACGAUCCAUAGCUGGUCUGAGAGGAUGAUCAGCCACAUUGGGACUGAGACACGGCCCAAACUCCUACGGGAGGCAGCAGUGGGGAAUAUUGGACAAUGGGCGCAAGCCUGAUCCAGCCAUGCCGCGUGAAUGAUGAAGGCCUUAGGGUUGUAAAGUUCUUUCACCGAUGAAGAUAAUGACGGUAGUCGGAGAAGAAGCCCCGGCUAACUUCGUGCCAGCAGCCGCGGUAA
rnacentral:rRNA from 1 species